GUCAUAAGGACUGCAAUAGCAGAUUACUCCGAUAAAGUAAAUUUUAAGAUAAACUUCUAUGAUA
rnacentral:tRNA from 1 species